UAUUUUUUAAUUGUUCAUAAUGAUUGAGAUAACAAAAAAUCAUAAAUUCUGUCUUGGAUUUCUUAUAGCAGGUUUUCUGAUUCACUUUGCUGCUUUCGCUAUGCCUUUUUGGAAUUUCUUUGUGCUAAACGACUUGAUGGGGACAAAGUCUUUUAGACUAAUAAGUAUAGGCCUAUGGCAAGCUUGUUUUAAAAUGGGAGGCAAGUACUGGUGCCAAGGAUACACAGCGUACAGUGGUUUUUCAGUAGUCCGGUUAUUUGAAUGUUUAUCAUUAGUUGGAUAUGUAACCAGUAUAAUGCUGUUAAUUGUUUAUCACCAGUUUCCAGUGUACGGCACCAGGAUAUUUAUUGCUAACGUCGCAACAAUUAUUACAACAGUUGUGACAUCUGUACUUGGUAUUCUAUGCUGGGCGAUGGGAUGUGGAACAACUGUGCAGCAUAACUUGUCACUAUCAUUCGCGUUAGUGAUUAUUUCGCUGAUAUUCCCAAUGUUAUCUGUUUGGUGCCUUGUGAUAGAGAGAAUCACCCAAGAGGAGAACAAACGAAGGGACAGUUUAUCACACCCAGAGAAAACUAUAGAUUUAAUAUAAUAUAUACACAUGUGUGCAAUAAUUGUUUUAAAAUGCUUUUGAAAAGUGCAGUUUAUAAUUUUAUAAUGCUUUUGAAAAGUGCACAGUUUAUAAUUUUAUCAAUAAUCCAUUGUUGUUUUUUUUUUUUUUUUUUUACUUUAAACGUUUUCGUAUGACGAAAGUUUGAGAAGUAAAUAUUAGAACAUGUA